rnacentral:rRNA from 1 species
GAUGAACGCUGGCGGCGUGCCUAAUACAUGCAAGUCGAGCGGACCAAAGAGAGCUUGCUCUCUGAGGUUAGCGGCGGACGGGUGAGUAACACGUGGGUAACCUGCCUGUAAGACGGGGAUAACUUCGGGAAACCGAAGCUAAUACCGGAUGAUAAAGAGAAACGCCUGUUUCUUUUUUGAAAGUCGGCCUUGUGCUGACGCUUACAGAUGGGCCCGCGGCGCAUUAGCUAGUUGGUGAGGUAACGGCUCACCAAGGCGACGAUGCGUAGCCGACCUGAGAGGGUGAUCGGACACACUGGGACUGAGACACGGCCCAGACUCCUACGGGAGGCGGCAGUAGGGAAUCUUCGGCAAUGGACGAAAGUCUGACCGAGCAACGCCGCGUGAGCGAUGAAGGCCUUCGGGUCGUAAAGCUCUGUUGUCAGAGAAGAACAAGUACCGGAGUAACUGCCGGUACCUUGACGGUACCUGACCAGAAAGCCACGGCUAACUACGUGCCAGCCGCCGCAGUAA